CUAGCCCUGGAGUGGGAAGGGCUAGCUGCCUGGGAGCAAGAUAAUGUCACACCCCCGCUGAGCCCCAGACUCUAAGCCUGCUGAGGCUGCUGCGGGAAAAUAAAGAAGUCACUGCACCACUUUUUCGUCUUUCACAACACACAUUCCCCAAACAACAGCUGAGAAGAAAAA